rnacentral:rRNA from 1 species
GACAGAGGGUGCAAACGUUGUUCGGAAUUACUGGGCGUAAAGCGCGUGUAGGCUGCUUGGAAAGUCGGAUGUGAAAGCCCUGGGCUCAACCUAGGAAGUGCAUUCGAAACUUCUGAGCUUGAGUAUCGGAGAGGAUCGCGGAAUUCUCGGUGUAGAGGUGAAAUUCGUAGAUAUCGAGAGGAACACCGGUGGCGAAGGCGGCGAUCUGGACGAUUACUGACGCUGAGACGCGAAAGCGUGGGGAGCAAAC